UUCACCGUGGCGCUCCACAGCGGAUCGGCCUGCAGCAGCACCUCAUCUCCCAGGUGCGCGCCGUCGGUGAGGACGCCCAGCAGCGUCGGCUCGCCAUAGGCGCCGAUGGUGCUGCGCUCCACCCGGCCGUGCGCCAGGAUGAACACCUCGUCGACCGGAUGCCCGGCCUCGGCGAUGACCUCGCCGGGGGCGAAGUCCCGCGGCGUGAACAACCCGGCCAGCUCGGCCAGCACCGCGUCGUCGGCGAACCCGCGCAUCACCGGGAUCUCCCGCAGCGUCUCCGGCACGAUCCGGAUGUCGUCGGCGCCGCUUUGCACCACCGCCACCCGCCCCCGGCCCACCGCCAGGCUCAGCCGCCGGUUCACCCGGUACGUGCCGCCGGAGACCUCCUCCCACGGCAGGCGCCGCAGCAGCCAGCGGGAGGUGAUGCCGCGCAUCUGCGGCUGCGUCUUGGUGGUGGUGGCCAGAUUGCGGGCCGCAUCAGUACUCAGGGACAGCGGCGAGUCCGUG
rnacentral:antisense_RNA from 1 species